CCUACGGGGGGCAGCAGUGAGGAAUAGUGGACAAUGGACGAGAGUCUGAACCAGCCAAGUAGCGUGAAGGAUGACUGCCCUAUGGGUUGUAAACUUCUUGUAUAUGGGAAUAAAAUGUUCCACGUGUGGGAUUUUGUAUGUACCAUAUGAAUAAGGAUCGGCUAACUCCGUGCCAGCAGCCGCGGUAAUACGGAGGAUCCGAGCGUUAUCCGGAUUUAUUGGGUUUAAAGGGAGCGUAGGUGGAUUGUUAAGUCAGUUGUGAAAGUUUGCGGCUCAACCGUAAAAUUGCAGUUGAAACUGGCAGUCUUGAGUACAGUAGAGGUGGGCGGAAUUCGUGGUGUAGCGGUGAAAUGCUUAGAUAUCACGAAGAACUCCGAUUGCGAAGGCAGUUCACUGGACUGCAACUGACACUGAGGCUCGAAAGUGUGGGUAUCAAACAGGAUUAGAUACCCCUGUAGUC
rnacentral:rRNA from 1 species